GUAGGGAAUAUUGGGCAAUGGUCGGAAGACUGACCCAGCCAUGCCGCGUGCAGGAAGACGGCCCUCUGGGUUGUAAACUGCUUUUAUCUGGGAAGAAAAAGGCCAUGCGUGGCAAAUUGCCGGUACCAGAUGAAUAAGCACCGGCUAACUCCGUGCCAGCAGCCGCGGUAAUACGGAGGGUGCAAGCGUUGUCCGGAUUUAUUGGGUUUAAAGGGUGCGUAGGCGGCUGAUUAAGUCAGCGGUGAAAGACUCCGGCUUAACCGGAGCAGUGCCGUUGAUACUGGUUAGCUUGAGUGUUGGAGGGGUACAUGGAAUUGAUGGUGUAGCGGUGAAAUGCAUAGAUACCAUCAGGAACACCGAUAGCGAAGGCAUUGUACUGGCCAACAACUGACGCUGAUGCACGAAAGUGUGGGGAUCGAACAGGAUUAGAUACCCUUGUAGUCC
rnacentral:rRNA from 1 species